rnacentral:rRNA from 1 species
ACAGAAUGCUUCACACAUGCAAGUUUACUUGAAUUUGGGUUUUUUAACUUCGAUUUGGGUGGCGGACGGGUGAGUAACGCGUAAAGAACUUGCCUCACAGCUAGGGACAACAUUUGGAAACGAAUGCUAAUACCUGAUAUUAUGAUUAUAGGGCAUCCUAGAAUUAUGAAAGCUAUAUGCGCUGUGAGAGAGCUUUGCGUCCCAUUAGCUAGUUGGAGAGGUAACGGCUCACCAAGGCGAUGAUGGGUAGCCGGCCUGAGAGGGUGAACGGCCACAAGGGGACUGAGACACGGCCCUUACUCCUACGGGAGGCAGCAGUGGGGAAUAUUGGUCAAUGGACCGAGAGUCUGAUCCAGCAAUUCUGUGUGCACGAUGACGUUUUUCGGAAUGUAAAGUGCUUUCAGUUGGGAAGAAAAAAAUGACGGUACCAACAGAAGAAGUGACGGCUAAAUACGUGCCAGCAGCCGCGGUAAUACGUAUGUCACGAGCGUUAUCCGGAUUUAUUGGGCGUAAAGCGCGUCUAGGUGGUUAUGUAAGUCUGAUGUGAAAAUGCAGGGCUCAACUCUGUAUUGCGUUGGAAACUGUGUAACUAGAGUACUGGAGAGGUAAGCGGAACUACAAGUGUAGAGGUGAAAUUCGUAGAUAUUUGUAGGAAUGCCGAUGGGGAAGCCAGCUUACUGGACAGAUACUGACGCUGAAGCGCGAAAGCGUGGGUAGCAAACAGGAUUAGAUACCCUGGUAGUCCACGCCGUAAACGAUGAUUACUAGGUGUUGGGGGUCGAACCUCAGCGCCCAAGCAAACGCGAUAAGUAUCCGCCUGGAGUACGU